AGUUUGAUCCUGGCUCAGGAUGAACGCUAGCGGCAGGCUUAACACAUGCAAGUCGAGGGGCAGCGCGUUGUAGCAAUACGAUGGCGGCGACCGGCGAAAGGGUGCGUAACGCGUGAGCAACCUGCCCGUAUCCGGGACAUAAGCGGUGGAAACGCCGUCUAAUUUCCCAUAACAACGAGGGCCGCAUGGUCCAUGUUUGAAAGAUGCGUCGGAUACGGAUGGGCUCGCGAGACAUUAGCUAGUCGGCGUGGUAACGGCACACCGAGGCGACGAUGUCUAGGGGUUCUGAGAGGAAGGUCCCCCACACUGGUACUGAGACACGGACCAGACUCCUGCGGGAGGCAGCAGUAAGGGAUAUUGGGCAAUGGGGGCAACCCUGACCCAGCCAUGCCGCGUGAGGGAAUGAGGCCCUACGGGUCGUGAACCUCUUUUAUUCGGGGACAAGGACGCGCACGAGAUGCGCGUUUGAGGGUACCGAAGGAAUAAGCGUCGGCUAACUCCGUGCC
rnacentral:rRNA from 1 species